AGUGAACGCUGGCGGAAGGCCUAACACAUGCAAGUCGAACGGCAGCACAGGAGAGCUUGCUCUCUGGGUGGCGAGUGGCGGACGGGUGAGGAAUACAUCGGAAUCUACUCUGUCGUGGGGGAUAACGUAGGGAGACUUACGCUAAUACCGCAUACGACCUACGGGUGAAAGCAGGGGACCUUCGGGCCUUGCGCGAUUGAAUGAGCCGAUGUCGGAUUAGCUAGUUGGCGGGGUAAAGGCCCACCAAGGCGACGAUCCGUAGCUGGUCUGAGAGGAUGAUCAGCCACACUGGAACUGAGACACGGUCCAGACUCCUACGGGAGGCAGCAGUGGGGAAUAUUGGACAAUGGGCGCAAGCCUGAUCCAGCCAUACCGCGUGGGUGAAGAAGGCCUUCGGGUUGUAAAGCCCUUUUGUUGGGAAAGAAAUCCAGCUGGCUAAUACCCGGUUGGGAUGACGGUACCCAAAGAAUAAGCACCGGCUAACUUCGUGCCAGCAGCCGCCGCCG
rnacentral:rRNA from 1 species